rnacentral:miRNA from 1 species
UCUCUUAGGCUGGGUUAACUAAU